rnacentral:rRNA from 1 species
GCGAAAACUUUACACUGCGGGAAACCGCGAUAAGGGGACCCCGAGUGCCAGCACCUAGUGCUGGCUGUCCAGCUGUUCAAAAAACAGUUGUUAGCAAGGGCCGGGCAAGACCGGUGCCAGCCGCCGCGGUAACACCGGCGGCCCGAGUGGUAGCCGUUAUUAUUGGGUUUAGAGGGUCCGUAGCCGGCCUAUUAAGUCUCUUGGGAAAUCUGGCGACUCAAUCGUCAGGCGUUCAAGAGAUACUGGUAGGCUUGGGACCGGGAGAGGUGGGAGGUACUCCAGGGGUAGGGGUGAAUUCUCGUAAUCCUUGGGGGACCACCGAUGGCGAAGGCAUCCCACCAGAACGGGUCCGACGGUGAGGGACGAAAGCUGGGGGCACGAACCGGAUUAGAUACCCGGGUAGUCCCAGCCGUAAACGAUGCUCGCUAGGUGUCAGGCAUGGCGCGACCGUGUCUGGUGCCGCAGGGAAGCCGUGAAGCGGGCCACCUGGGAAGUACGGUCGCAAGGCUGAAACU